CUUUUUUAGUCAGCUGAUCUCUCUUAGAAGUCUUUUAAAAUAAUUCCACAAGGAAGAUGUUGAUAUUUCACAUUUAUUGUUUAGGGAAAAGAUAGAAUUUCCAGGCUUCUAAAGUUAAUAAAGUUUCUUAUUUAUAUCAUUAUUAAGGAAACUUAUUUUUUCAUUAAUAUAAGUUACUGUGUGUUACCUAAUUUGGAGGUCUUUAAUUAGAAAAAAAUUCUAGAACCUGAUAGUAAUGUAGACACUGAAAACUAGCUGCUUUGAUACAUUUUUAAGGUUUUUUUUUUUGAGCUUAAAUUUUUACUAAAAACAUUGCUUUUAUAGUUAAAUAUUUCAAAUCCAGUGGAAUAGCCUCUAAUAAAAUGCUGAUUAUAUUACAGGUGCAAAUUGAGCAUGACCCAGAAUUAGAAAAAGAAAGACUUUGGCUGAGCAAAACACUAAGAAUCCUAAAAGCACUACUGGUAGAAGUUCCAAAUCUAAAGAGGAGCCAUUAUUUCCAUUUAAUUUGGAUGAAUUUGUUACUGUGGAUGAGGUUAUAGAAGAAGUGAAUCCUUCUCAGGCCAAGCAGAAUCCACUAAAGGGAAAAAGGAAAGAAACUCUCAAAAAUGUUCCUUUCUCUGAACUUAACUUAAAGAAGAAAAAGGGGAAAACUUCCGCUCCUCGUGGUGUUGAGGGAGAAUUAUCUUUUGUAACAUUGGAUGAGAUUGGGGAAGAGGAAGAUGCAGCUGCACAUCUAGCACAAGCUCUAGUCACUGUGGAUGAAGUAAUUGAUGAAGAAGAACUAAAUAUGGAAGAAAUGGUAAAAAAUUCAAAUUCACUUUUUACAUUAGAUGAAUUAAUUGACCAAGAUGAUUGCAUUUCCCACAGUGAACCUAAAGAUGUUACUGUUCUGUCAGUGGCUGAAGAACAAGAUCUCCUCAAACAGGAACGCUUGGUAACUGUGGAUGAAAUUGGAGAAGUGGAAGAGCUACCUUUGAAUGAGUCAGCAGACAUAACUUUUGCCACUUUAAAUACUAAAGGAAAUGAAGGAGAUACUGUAAGGGAUUCCAUUGGCUUUAUUUCUUCUCAGAUGCCCGAAGACCCUUCUACUUUAGUUACUGUAGAUGAAAUACAAGAUGACAGCAGUGAUUUGCAUUUAGUGACUUUGGAUGAAGUAACUGAAGAGGAUGAAGACUCUCUGGCAGAUUUUAACAACCUUAAAGAAGAGCUUAAUUUUGUUACUGUUGAUGAAGUUGGAGAGGAGGAAGAUGGAGAUAAUGAUUUAAAAGUUGAGUUAGCACAAAGCAAAAAUGACCAUCCCACAGAUAAAAAAGGGAAUAGAAAGAAGAGAGCUGUGGACACAAAAAAGACAAAACUUGAAUCCUUGUCCCAAGUGGGUCCAGUAAAUGAGAAUGUUAUGGAAGAAGAUCUAAAAACCAUGAUUGAAAGACACUUAACAGCUAAAACUCCAACCAAGAGAGUUAGAAUUGGGAAAACUCUGCCAUCAGAAAAAGCUGUUGUGACAGAACCAGCAAAAGGUGAAGAGGCCUUCCAGAUGAGUGAAGUUGAUGAGGAAUCUGGAUUAAAGGAUUCAGAACCAGAGCGAAAACGCAAGAAGACUGAAGACUCUUCUUCAGGCAAAUCAGUGGCGUCUGAUGUCCCUGAGGAAUUAGACUUUCUUGUACCUAAGGCUGGAUUCUUCUGUCCAAUUUGUUCCCUCUUCUACUCAGGUGAAAAAGCAAUGACAAAUCACUGCAAGAGUACACGUCAUAAGCAAAAUACUGAGAAAUUCAUGGCCAAGCAAAGAAAGGAAAAGGAGCAGAAUGAGGCUGAAGAAAGAAGCUCUAGGUGAUUGGGGGAAAGGAAAGAAUUCACUAGAAAUUUGUUUAGGGUCCAGUUGAUUUGUGUAUUUUUGUUAUCAUUUAAUUUGUAAUUUUCGUUUCAGAAGCAAAUAUUCGUGUUGUACAAAUUUCUGAUUGCCCUAAAUGUAGAGAGACUGAUGGGGAAAGUAUGAUGGGUUUGAUUUUUAUAUCAAAUCAUCAGGCAUGGAGAAAUAUCUUUUAGAAGUGUUAAAAUAAAUGUUCCUACUGUAUAUUU
rnacentral:sRNA from 1 species